rnacentral:rRNA from 1 species
GACGAACGCUGGCGGCGUGCUUAACACAUGCAAGUCGAACGGAAAGGCCCUGCUUUUGUGGGGUGCUCGAGUGGCGAACGGGUGAGUAACACGUGAGUAAACUGCCCUUGACUUUGGGAUAACUUCAGGAAACUGGGGCUAAUACCGGAUAGGAGCUCCUGCUGCAUGGUGGGGGUUGGAAAGUUUCGGCGGUUGGGGAUGGACUCGCGGCUUAUCAGCUUGUUGGUGGGGUAGUGGCUUACCAAGGCUUUGACGGGUAGCCGGCCUGAGAGGGUGACCGGCCACAUUGGGAUUGAGAUACGGCCCAGACUCCUACGGGAGGCAGCAGUGGGGAAUAUUGCACAAUGGGCGGAAGCCUGAUGCAGCAACGCCGCGUGCGGGAUGACGGCCUUCGGGUUGUAAACCGCUUUCGCCUGUGACGAAGCGUGAGUGACGGUAAUGGGUAAAGAAGCACCGGCUAACUACGUG